rnacentral:rRNA from 1 species
GAUGAACGCUGGCGGCGUGCCUAAUACAUGCAAGUCGAACGCAUUGAGAGAAGUGCUUGCACUUUUCAAUUUGAGUGGCGAACGGGUGAGUAACACGUGGGCAACCUACCUGAUAGCGGGGGAUAACGAGUGGAAACAUUCGCUAAUACCGCAUAACAAUAGAGAAGGCAUCUUCUUUAUUUAAAAGGCGCUUUCAAGCGUCACUAUCAGAUGGGCCCGCGGUGCAUUAGUUAGUUGGUGGGGUGAAGGUCUACCAAGACGAUGGUGCAUAGCCGGGUUAGGGGACUGAUCGGCCACAUUGGGACUGGGACACGGCCCAAACUCCUACGGGAGGCUGCAGUAGGGAAUCUUCCACAAUGGACGAAAGUCUGAUGGAGCAACGCCGCGUGUGUGAUGAAGGCUUUCGGGUCGUAAAGCACUGUUGUAUGGGAAGAAAUGCUAGGCUAGGAAAUGAGCUUAGUUUGACGGUACCAUACCAGAAAGGGACGGCUAAAUACGUGCCAGCCGCCGCCGUAA